UGGAUAAGUCAGUGGGUGGCGCUAUGUAGCCACAGGACAAUGCCCCAGAAGCAUCAGAACAGCCGUAAUUCCAGGCAAUCUGCAUAUUAUGCCAUCUGACUUGCUGGGUAAUGUCAACAUUUUGGUUUUCCAGCAUCUGCAGUUUGAUUUUCAGUUGGACUGUACAAGUUGGCUGAUCACAGAACCCAGUUGUUAACAGGUGUACAGAGGAGAUCAUUCUGACUGGUUGCAUCACAGCCUGGUAUGGAGGAUCCAAUGCACAGGAUUGCAAGAGGCUGCAGAGGUUGUAGACUCAGCCAGCUCCAUCAGGGGCACAAUCCUCCGCACCAUCAAGGACCUCUUCAAGAGGCAGUGC